rnacentral:pre_miRNA from 1 species
GAAGGUGACCAAGAGUCCCGGUUUGCCCAGGACGGAGGGGUUUCCUAGGACUCACACCAGGAAAGUCCUGGGCAAACCGGAUCUGUUGGUCACCAUGGUACCAC